GACGAACGCUGGCGGCGUGCUUAACACAUGCAAGUCGAGCGGUAAGGCCCUUCGGGUACGACGAGCGGCGAACGGGUGAGUAACACGUGGGUGACCUGCCUCUAGCUCUGGGAUAAGCCUGGGAAACUGGGUCUAAUACCGGAUAUGAUUCCACGGCGCAUGUUGUGGGGUGGAAAGCCUUGUGUGGCUAGAGAUGGGCCCGCGGCCUAUCAGCUU
rnacentral:rRNA from 1 species